UACGAAGGGGGCUAGCGUUGUUCGGAUUUACUGGGCGUAAAGCGCACGUAGGCGGAUCGUUAAGUCAGGGGUGAAAUCCUGGAGCUCAACUCCAGAACUGCCUUUGAUACUGGCGAUCUUGAGUCCGGAAGAGGUGAGUGGAACUCCUAGUGUAGAGGUGGAAUUCGUAGAUAUUCGCAAGAACACCAGUGGCGAAGGCGGCUCACUGGCCCGAUACUGACGCUGAGGCACGAAAGCGUGGGGAGCAAACAGG
rnacentral:rRNA from 1 species